GCAUCAAAACUUGCAGUUAAGCAUUAGAAAUAGUAGGAGAUGAAUACCCUUUUCUCCAAGAGAAGUUCCCUCUUAACCUUCCAUUCUUCUUCAGCUAAUCCCUCCAAAACAAGAGCAGAAAAUUGAAGUCAGCUAAGCAGGAGGUUCUGUUUACCAAUCAAUCAUCUUAUAAACAAGAACAGUAGUACCUGGUGACUUUGCAGGCUUUGUUGCAGCACAUCGGAUAAUAAGGCCACGCCGAGUCUGCGAAGCUAGUCUUUGCUUAGAUGCAUGACCUGAUCUUAGAGUCACAAGGCAAGAACAAUCUGGAGUAAUUUUGGAAGAGAUAGUCAAUGGGGAGGACCUAAAAUUGGGGUAUACUGAAGAGGAUGAAGUUGAGUUUGGGGUGAUUGAAGCAAGUGCAGCCAUUUUCUUCUUGACAAAAGAUCAGUUGGAAAACUUGGACACAUG